rnacentral:rRNA from 1 species
UCAGGAGGCUGGGGUGCAGUCAUAAGAAAUGAAGAAGGGGAGGUAGUUGCAUGUGGAGCAGGUAAGCUGGAGAGUGUACUGAACCCUUUUCAUGCAGAAAUUUUGGCCGCCCUCUAUGGAGCGAAACUAGCAGGAGCGAAGGGGAUUAAUAAGGUAAUUUUUGAAACCGAUUCGCUGCUGCUGAAGCAAGCCAUGGAAGGCGGAGAGGAUGAUCUGUCGCCUAUCUGUUUCGCACUAGCUGAUUUGACGGAGUACAUAGCACAAAAUAUCUAUGACUGUGUCUUCAGUUUUUGUAAUCGGAGCUGUAACCAAGUAGCACAUUCUCUAGCAGCAUAUGGAUGUACUCUGAAUGUUGGGGAUGAGCUAUGUUCAGAUAAUGUAAUCCCGAAUGUACAACAUCUUGUGGCGGGCGAUUUAGCUCCGUCCACUAAGUAA